rnacentral:rRNA from 1 species
CCUACGGGUGGCAGCAGUGAGGAAUAUUGGUCAAUGGGCGGAAGCCUGAACCAGCCAAGUAGCGUGCAGGAUGACGGCCCUACGGGUUGUAAACUGCUUUUAUACGGGAAUAACGCGCCUUACGUGUAGGUCUUUGCAUGUACCGUAUGAAUAAGGACCGGCUAAUUCCGUGCCAGCAGCCGCGGUAAUACGGAAGGUCCGGGCGUUAUCCGGAUUUAUUGGGUUUAAAGGGUGCGUAGGCCGCAUGUUAAGCGUGCGGUGAAAUGGCCGGGCUCAACCCGGGCCGUGCAGCGGGAACUGGCGGGCUUGAGACCGCGGAAGGCAGGCGGAAUUCGUCGUGUAGCGGUGAAAUGCUUAGAUAUGGCGAAGAACCCCGAUUGCGAAGGCAGCUUGCUGCAGCGGAACUGACGCUGAUGCUCGAAAGCGCGGGUAUCGAACAGGAUUAGAUACCCCUGUAGUC